ACAGAGGCGGCAAGCGUUGUUCGGAAUUAUUGGGCGUAAAGAGCACGUAGGCGGCCUUGCAAGUCUGUUGUGAAAGCCUUCCGCUUAACGGAAGAACGGCAUCUGAUACUACAGGGCUUGAGUACGGGAGGGGAGAGUGGAACUUCUGGUGGAGCGGUGAAAUGCGUAGAUAUCAGAAGGAACAUCGGCGGCGAAAGCGACUCUCUGGCCCGUAACUGACGCUAAGACGCGACAGCACGGGGAGCGAACGG
rnacentral:rRNA from 1 species